rnacentral:rRNA from 1 species
UACGGAGGGUGCAAGCGUUAUCCGGAUUUACUGGGUUUAAAGGGUGCGUAGGCGGACUUUUAAGUCAGUGGUGAAAUCCCCGAGCUUAACUCGGAAACUGCCAUUGAUACUAUUAGUCUUGAAUUCGGUCGAGGUUGGCGGAAUGUGUCGUGUAGCGAUGAAAUGCUUAGAUAUGACACAGAACACCGAUUGCGAAGGCAGCUAGCUAGACCGACAUUGACGCUGAGGCACGAAAGCGUGGGGAUCAAACAGG